GUUUGUUUUUAUUAUCUAUAAAAUAUCAACUGGAAUCUGAUACAGUACGCAAUCAACGGUCGAUCCACGGCAUCAUGAAUGAUUAACUUAAUCUUAUCAGUCAUCAAAUUUUUAUGACGCUUUUACUUGGAUCUGAGAGCUUCUUACCAGUUCAGAGUAUACUUGCUCGUUAAAACAGCACCUUUUCUCCAUCUGUCAAACAUAACCUCAACAUCACCGAGAUGUCGAGCACCCGGAGCAUCUGCUGCGAGAGUACCUCGACGAUGUCGAAGCUUCGUAAACCCAAGACUGCCUACGAAAUAAUAUUUGGAUGGGACAGGUUCAACUCCACGUGGCUAUUUGUUCUUCUAGUAUCAUUUGCAAUCUGGUGUGGAGUCUUCUUUGCGGUCUACGUGCCAGUUGCCGACGAUAACGCGGGCCACGAAGGACACGGAGAACACGGAGGAAUGGAACACGGAGGGAUGGAGAUGAAAAGUCAUCUCUUCUGAACUUUCUUUGUCCACGUCGAGUUGUGUUCCAGGUUCAAGGAUUCAAGGUUUGCGGAAAAAUUACAUAGACGAUUUUCAUAGAAAUCUCAGUGGCGUCGCAGAAAUAAUAUUUGCGAGUCGUUCAAAACUUAAAACUUGGGCCAAGAGUAGAAACGAGUGACGUUACCCUAAAGGCUUCAUAUUUAAAAUGGAGUUACUUCUGAAGCUAGUGUAUAACAGAAGACGUCAGAUUUUUUAUAUUAAUGUAUUGCAGAAGAUUCCAAGUAUUUGUUGAGAUAUGUAUCAAAUAAUAUAUAGGUAUAGCUUUACCAUAAUUUUAAAGACAAGAUAAGAGACGAACAAAUUUUUUCAACGAUCAGUAUAAUAAAAGAACUGUGCAAAUUUUGGAUGGGGUGUAGUACUUUUAAGUUAUUGGUGUGCUUUAUUGAUAAUUUCAAUAUUAAUAAUCAUAUUAAUGGCUGUCAUAUUUAAGUAUGGAUUUGUAAAUUCAGAAAAAUAAAUUAUGUAUUUAUUAUGAAGGCCACUAUAUGUA